UCAGUUGUAUUUGGGCAGGUGUUUUCGC
rnacentral:piRNA from 1 species